rnacentral:rRNA from 1 species
UACGUAGGGGGCAAGCGUUAUCCGGAAUUACUGGGUGUAAAGGGUGCGUAGGCGGCAAUGCAAGUCAGUCGUGAAAGGUAUGGGCUUAACCCGUAAACUGCGAUUGAAACUGCAUAGCUAGAGUGCAGGAGAGGAAAGCGGAAUUCCUAGUGUAGCGGUGAAAUGCGUAGAUAUUAGGAAGAACACCAGUGGCGAAGGCGGCUUUCUGGACUGCAACUGACGCUGAGGCACGAAAGCGUGGGGAGCAAACAGG